AACGAACGCUGGCGGCAUGCCUAACACAUGCAAGUCGAACGAGACCUUCGGGUCUAGUGGCGCACGGGUGCGUAACGCGUGGGAACCUGCCCUUAGGUUCGGAAUAACUCCCCGAAAGGGGUGCUAAUACCGGAUAAUGUCUUCGGACCAAAGAUUUAUCGCCUUUGGAUGGGCCCGCGUUGGAUUAGCUAGUUGGUAGGGUAAAAGCCUACCAAGGCGACGAUCCAUAGCUGGUCUGAGAGGAUGAUCAGCCACACUGGGACUGAGACACGGCCCAGACUCCUACGGGAGGCAGCAGUGGGAAAUAUUGGAAAAGGGGCGAAAGCCUGACCCAGCAAGGCCGGGGGAGUGAUGAAGGCCUUAGGGUUGUAAAGCUCUUUUACCCGGGAUGAUAAUGACAGUACCGGGAGAAUAAGCCCCGGCUAACUCCGU
rnacentral:rRNA from 1 species